CUUGCCAGCACCUCUCCUAAACAGGUGUUCUACUCCACUAGCCAGUACCUCUCCUAAACAGGUGUUCUACUCCACUAGCCAGCACCUCUCCUAAACAGGUGUUCUACUCCACUAGCCAGCACCUCUCCUAAACAGGUGUUCUACUCCACUAGCCAGCACCUCUCCUAAACAGGUGUUCUACUCCACUAGCCAGCACCUCUCCUAAACAGGUGUUCUACUCUGCUAGCACCUCUCCUAAACAGGUGUUCUACUCCACUAGCCAGUACCUCUCCUAAACAGGUGUUCUACUCCACUAGCCAGUACCUCUCCUAAACAGGUGUUCUACUCCACUAGCCAGCACCUCUCCUAAACAGGUGUUCUACUCCACUAGCCAGUACCUCUCCUAAACAGGUGUUCUACUCCACUAGCCAGUACCUCUCCUAAACAGGUGUUCUACUCCACUAGCCAGCACCUCUCCUAAACAGGUGUUCUACUCCACUAGCCAGUACCUCUCCUAAACAGGUGUUCUACUCCACUAGCCAGCACCUCUCCUAAACAGGUGUUCUACUCCACUAGCCAGCACCUCUCCUAAACAGGUGUUCUACUCCACUAGCCAGUACCUCUCCUAAACAGGUGUUCUACUCUGCUAGCCAGCACCUCUCCUAAACAGGUGUUCUACUCUGCUAGCCAACACCUCUCCUAAACAGGUAUUCUACUCCACUAGCCAGCACCUCUCCUAAACAGGUGUUCUACUCCACUAGCACCUCUCCUAAACAGG